rfam:Asian citrus Psyllid, Diaphorina citri - Florida Strain, whole genome shotgun sequence.
ACCCAAAACGUACGUGGGUAUGUUUGUGGGCGCUCUGUGUGCCCUGGCGGGUGUGCUCACGAUUGCCCUUCCCGUGCCGGUCAUAGUGUCUAAU